UGCCAGCAGCCGCGGUAAUACGGAGGGUGCAAGCGUUGCUCGGAAUUACUGGGCGUAAAGCGACCGCAGGCGGUUUUUCAGGUCCGAUGUGAAAUCCCAGAGCUCAACUCUGGGCGUGCAUCGGAAACCGGGAGACUUGAGUACGAGAGAGGAAGGCGGAAUUCCGGGUGUAGAGGUGAAAUUCGUAGAUAUCAGGAGGAACACCGGCGGCGAAGGCGGCUUUCUGGCUCGAUACUGACGCUAAUGGUCGAAAGCGUGGGGAGCAAACAGGAUUAGAUA
rnacentral:rRNA from 1 species